GAGCUGGGGACAUAUGAGCAAAGACAGGCGAUGUGAUCAGUCCUGUGCCUUAGGCAGGUGGUGAUAAAAGGACACUUUAGAAGGGUCAGAAAUGGGAGAGCUGGAAGCCAAUACCAUGGCAAUCAUUUGUGCAAGAGAUGAUGAAGACCUGUGUAGAUGGAAGGGAAGGAAGGGACAGCUGGGAGCUGACCAGGAUGAGCCAAUAAUUAGAUGCAGAAGUGAAGGAGUCAGAAUGACAUUGGAACAGGGUGGGUAGGAGGAGGGAGGGGACCAUCACUAAGACAGAGAACACAGAAAGGGAUCUGAUUUUGCGUGGAAAUCUGCGUUGUGUUUUGGACAUGCUGAUUUGGGAGAUACUUGAGGUGGUGAUGCCUCCUGGGAGCUGGAAAUAUAAGGCUGGUGCUUAGGAGAGAAGGCAGCAUGAGACGUGUUGACCCGGGCAUCAUCUACAGAGAAACAGCCUGAAGCCCUUGCCUGGUGGGAGUUUAUAAAAGACUUACGGGAUAACUGACAGCUAUCAGGGGGAGAGAAAAUGGUGAUUAAUUAGGCUGAGACACAGAAUCUUAUCAUUGGCAAGGCUUUUGGACAUGAGGUGGCUUAAAUAUUAGAGAUAUUUAAUAAAUGUUUGUCAAAUCAAACCAAACUUCCCACCUAGUGCAAAUGUCACAUGGCAUAAGUGUCACCCAUCUAUCCAGAUGGCACUUGAAUUCUUCCAGGGGCAAGGACAUUACCUCAUGACGUCCAUUUUACUGUUAGACACCUAAAAUAGUUCCUGGUACAGAGUAAGUGAACAAGAAAUCCACUAUCUUUUGAAUGAAGGAAUGAACGAGUGGGUAAAUCACAUUGUCUCAGGCUCCAUGCUGAGUCUGAUGGGAUGGCAAGACAUUCAGGGGAGACAGACAGAGGUUAGGCUGGAAAGUUACCAACACACUGGUGACAGCUGAAGCUAUGAUGGGGACCAAGAUCUUUAUGGGACAGAGCAGAGAGAGAGAAGCACAGGAGAGGCAAGGAUGAAGCUCUUUUGUUCAUGUAUCCAUUCACCAACUUGUUUUUGUUUUUUAUUUAGAGACGGGGUCUCAUUAUGUUGCCCAGGCUGGUCUCGAACUCCUAAGCUCAGGUGAUCCACCUGCCUUGGCCUCCCAAAGUACUAGAAUUACAGAUGUCAGCCACUGUGAUGGCCAAUUCAACAGCUUCUUAUUGAACACUUGUUAUAUUCUAGCCAAAGGCCCUGCCCUUGGGAAGCUUGCAUUCUAGUGGGGAGAGGGCAAUAAAUAAAUGAGCAGAUAGAGAUAUAUAAUGCAAUUGAUUAUAAGUGAAGCAAAGCAAAAUAAAGCUGGAUAAGAGGACAGAAAAGGACAGGGUGCUAUUUUCAAUAGAACGGCUGGACAAGGCCCCUUUUAAUCAAAGUGAGGGGGCAAAGCAGGGUGCUAAGACUGAAAACCCUUGGUCCCAACUUCCUGUGGUUACAAACAGGGUUGAAUUAUCUAGGAACAUGGGCAAACACUGGUCUGUAAAUCUCCUAAGUGGUAAUGUGGGAACCCCCUAAGAGUUUAGCAGUUGAGCUCUUUCUUCCAAACUUCUCUUUCUCUAGGCGGAACUUCCCAAGCUGCCAAUGGCCUCCAUUGGGGCCUGGUCAUUUAGAGGGAAAAAUGACAUCAGCAACCUAGGUGCUGACAGCUGACAAAGUUCUUUCAAAUGCACAAUGAAACCGGCCUUUGCAAUCAUGCCUUAGAAAUCUUAUUUUAUAGAUGAGAAAACUGAGGCUCAGAAAGAUUAAACAACUUGCUGCAAGUUACAAAAUUCAUAAUUAUUGGAGCUGAGGUUCUAACCCAAGUGUAUCUGCAGUAACUUUGACUUUUUUAUUGUUAAUUCUAAUAAAACUUGAUCAAAUUCUCAAAGGGAGGUGAAGUUAGGAGGAGGAGAAUAGGCUAACAUUUACUGAGUGUCUACCUCAUGUCUAGGAUUGAGUAGGUAUUUACAGGUAUUAUCAUAUUUUAUCCUCACAACACCAUAAAAGCUAGGUACUCAUGCCCAUCUUACAGAUGAGGAAACUGAGGUACAGUGAGGCUGGCAAUAUACCAAAGGUCCUAUGGCCACUGAAUGAUGAACUGGGUUGGAGCAUAGGUUACCCUGAAAAUAAACUCCUGGUUUCCAACUUUUUCCUUUAUAUCUAGACAUUUCAUUUAAACCGUGAAAGUUUCAUUAAGACCAUCAAACUUCUCCUGCUGUUGGUCCCUAUUGAGAACCUGGUGCUGAAAUGAGCUGAAAAGGCCAAACUCUAACUUAAGUGCAUAGAGAAAGGACAGUAGUCUGGAAUGUUGCUGCUGGUCUAAGUGUGAGGAUAAUUCUAUUGCCUCUUGUGAAUACUAAACAUAUUCUGAUAGUGCUAUUUUUUUUCACAGCAUUCUAUUCAUCUAAAAGCACCGGUAAUUAACGAUGCUAAUAAAUGUAUAAUCCCUUUGUAAACAUCUCUUCACAAGGUCAUAAAGAAGGAAGACUG
rnacentral:lncRNA from 1 species